CUGAGGUGACUUUAAAGCCAAGUCCUGACUGUGAGAACUCCCUCUCUUUCCCCAUAACCAGUCCAUUCCACCUGGUCCUGACCUGUAUGUUGGAAGGAAAACCUUUCUGACAUCUUAGGUCUGACUGGCUGGGGAGCUGGGGAGCUGGGGAGCUGGGGACCUGUGAGUUAGCUGAAAAUAGACAGAUUAAUAAGAGAAAAGCCAAGGUUUAUUUACACAUGCAUGUGAGAAGUACUCAGUGAUGACUAACUCCCUGAAUAACCAGAAGUAAAUGUCUAUAUAUAAACUUAACAAAAAGAAAAAUAGGAGGGAGGUUUAUGGCUUUAGUGGGAAAGGAUGGAAGGUUCUAUUUGGCUUUUUGAUGCUAGUAAAUAGUUGAAUUUAUAAUUCCUGGUCCUAAGAGUCUAUCUUCUUCUAAAAGGAAACUUCCUCAGAGAGGAAUCAAUGGCAGCUAUAUUUUUGGGAGGCUCUGCUCAAGAUCAGGUGAAAAGACACACCCUUCGCAUUUCCAGGGACCUUCUGUUGCUUUGGAAUGAUUAUAUAAAAUAUUCAAUACUACUUUCUCCUGAAAAAUCAGAUUUUCUUUUACGUGGUAUUUCCUACAGUAGGUCCAUGGUGGAAUGUGAAAAUGUGCCUCAC
rnacentral:lncRNA from 1 species